AACCUUUGCUGUCUUGGGACGGAUCACCACUGCAAGAGGGGAAGUUGCUACUGUGAUGAAUUCUGCCAUGUGGCACCAGACUGCCACCCAGACCACAGUGUCCUCUGCAACCCUGGUCAAAGGUGCCUACAUGCUCCUUCUAGCUUUGUUUCCCUGAUGUUCCUUGCCACCUGCUACUCCUCUCUGAGCUACUUUUCCAGCUUCUCAGAUGACCAAGAUGGUGCUGCAGAUGGUGCUGAGGAUGGAGAACCCACCAAGCCCCGCUAGGAGCCACCUAGACUGGAUGCAGAGCAUGGCCCAUCAGAAACUCAAAAGAAUGCGACCUUUGUCUCUCACCCACCUGUGACCUGGAAGCUUUCUCCUGGCUGCGAGUUGUCCCACGUUUGCUUGGCGUUGCCCGGCCUUUUCCAGACUGAACCAAUGUUCAUCUUACAUGUGUUGAUUGAUGUCUCAUGUCUCCCUAAAACGUAUGACCACCUUGGCACAUGUCGUCAGGACAUCCUGAGGCUGUGUCACGGGUGUG
rnacentral:sRNA from 1 species